rnacentral:rRNA from 1 species
GCAGUCGAACGCUUCUUUCCUCCCGAGUGCUUGCACUCAAUUGGAAAGAGGAGUGGCGGACGGGUGAGUAACACGUGGGUAACCUACCCAUCAGAGGGGGAUAACACUUGGAAACAGGUGCUAAUACCGCAUAACAGUUUAUGCCGCAUGGCAUAAGAGUGAAAGGCGCUUUCGGGUGUCGCUGAUGGAUGGACCCGCGGUGCAUUAGCUAGUUGGUGAGGUAACGGCUCACCAAGGCCACGAUGCAUAGCCGACCUGAGAGGGUGAUCGGCCACACUGGGACUGAGACACGGCCCAGACUCCUACGGGAGGCAGCAGUAGGGAAUCUUCGGCAAUGGACGAAAGUCUGACCGAGCAACGCCGCGUGAGUGAAGAAGGUUUUCGGAUCGUAAAACUCUGUUGUUAGAGAAGAACAAGGACGUUAGUAACUGAACGUCCCCUGACGGUAUCUAACCAGAAAGCCACGGCUAACUACGUGCCAGCAGCCGCGGUAAUACGUAGGUGGCAAGCGUUGUCCGGAUUUAUUGGGCGUAAAGCGAGCGCAGGCGGUUUCUUAAGUCUGAUGUGAAAGCCCCCGGCUCAACCGGGGAGGGUCAUUGGAAACUGGGAGACUUGAGUGCAGAAGAGGAGAGUGGAAUUCCAUGUGUAGCGGUGAAAUGCGUAGAUAUAUGGAGGAACACCAGUGGCGAAAGGCGGCUCUCUGGUCUGUAACUGACGCUGANGCUCGAAAGCGUGGGGAGCAAACAGGAUUAGA